rnacentral:rRNA from 1 species
ACUGUUGAUGAUUGCAUGACAGAGGCAGCCACAUUUCAGAUGCCUUCUUCCCUAAGACGGUUGUUUGCAACUAUAUUGGUAUUUUGCGAGGCAACAAAAAUCCGACAAUUGUGGGAUAAACAUCUACCAUCAAUGUGUGAGGACUACCGUCAUAAUGAAUCCAAUGAGUUAGUACUUGAGCAGAUGGUCCUUCGAGAUAUUAGGGAUAUGUUGCAAUCCAUGGGAAAGAAUAUUAAGAGCUAUGGACUUCCGGAUCUGGUUGAGACCGAUGGUUCUUAUGACACUGAGUAUAGAGAGGUAACAGAGGAGAGGCAAAUCACUACGGACAUAGAACAUCUAGAUCUAUUUAGCAGUUUGAACAAUGAGCAGCUAGCUGGUUUCAAUGACAUAAUGGAUCAUGUGAUGAACAAAAAAAGCCAGAUAUUCUUUGUUGAUGGUCCAGGAGGAACUGGGAAGACGUACAUGUACAAGGCAUUGCUUGCAAAGGUGUGUUCCAUGGGCCAAAUCGCGAUCGCAACUGCUACAUCUGGUAUUACAGCAUCGAUAAUGCCUGGAGGACGCACAGCACACUCCUAG